rnacentral:rRNA from 1 species
GACGUAGGGGGCCAGCGUUGUUCGGAAUUACUGGGUGUAAAGGGUUCGUAGGCGGUGCGGCAAGUUGGGAGUGAAAUCUCUGGGCUUAACCCAGAGGCUGCUUCCAAAACUGCUGUGCUUGAGUGUGGGAGAGGCGCGUGGAAUUCCUGGUGUAGCGGUGGAAUGCGCAGAUAUCAGGAGGAACACCGAUGGCGAAGGCAGGUCUCUGGGCCACUACUGACGCUGAGAAGCGAAAGCAUGGGGAGCGAACAGG